rnacentral:rRNA from 1 species
CCUACGGGAGGCAGCAGUGAGGAAUAUUGGUCAAUGGACGAGAGUCUGAACCAGCCAAGUAGCGUGAAGGAUGACUGCCCUAUGGGUUGUAAACUUCUUUUAUAUGGGAAUAAAAUGUUCCACGUGUGGGAUUUUGUAUGUACCCUAUGAAUAAGGAUCGGCUAACUCCGUGCCAGCAGCCGCGGUAAUACGGAGGAUCCGAGCGUUAUCCGGAUUUAUUGGGUUUAAAGGGAGCGUAGGUGGGUUGUUAAGUCAGUUGUGAAAGUUGGCGGCUCAACCGUAAAAUUGCAGUUGAAACUGGCAGUCUUGAGUACAGUAGAGGUGGGCGGAAUUCGUGGUGUAGCGGUGAAAUGCUUAGAUAUCGCGAAGAACUCCGAUUGCGAAGGCAGCGCACUGGACUGCAACUGACACUGAGGCUCGAAAGUGUGGGGAUCGAACAGGAUUAGAUACCCGAGUAGUC